GACGAACGCUGGCGGCGUGCUUAACACAUGCAAGUCGAACGAUGAAGUUGGAGCUUGCUCCGGUGGAUUAGUGGCGAACGGGUGAGUAACACGUGAGCAAUCUGCCCUUGACUCUGGGAUAACUGCGGGAAACUGUAGCUAAUACCGGAUACUUUCACUGGAAGGCAUCUUCUGGUGAAGAAAGAAUUUCGGUCAAGGAUGAGCUCGCGGCCUAUCAGCUUGUUGGUGAGGUAACGGCUCACCAAGGCGACGACGGGUAGCCGGCCUGAGAGGGUGACCAGCCACACUGGGACUGAGACACGGCCCAGACUCCUACGGGAGGCAGCAGUGGGGAAUAUUGCACAAUGGGCGCAAGCCUGAUGCAGCAACGCCGCGUGAGGGAUGACGGCCUUCGGGUUGUAAACCUCUUUUAGUAGGGAAGAAGCGAAAGUGACGGUACCUGCAGAAAAAGCACCGGCUAACUACGUGCCAGCCGCCGCCGUAA
rnacentral:rRNA from 1 species